UUUCAGACUGUUCUUCUCUAGGAGUCGACUUGGACAAACUGAGAGUCGACUCGGCUACUGUGGAGGAUUCUGCAAUCUCAUUGUUAGUACGCAAUUGAAGCACAUGUGAGCUAAUCUGAGAUUUAUCAUAAAUAUUUUCUAAAGUAUCCCAGAUCUCCUUAGCAGAUAAGCAUGCAGAAAUUUCAUUAAACUUCGUUUCAUGAAUAGCACAAUAUAAUAUGUUCAUAGCAUU
rnacentral:lncRNA from 1 species